AGCACACAUUUACCCUGCUCUUUAAAAGCACAGGGCAGGAUGCAGAGUGAAGUGCCUGGAAGAAGUGCUGAUGCAGCCAGUGCCACAGGUGUACUUUGGCAGGGUCACUCCUGCAGGAUCACAGCUACUCACUGGGGGGAAAUCGCAGAAGCCUUGCAGUACUCCCCAUGAAUGUUAGUGUCCUGAAGUUUGACUUUCAAGUAUGUGGUUUUCAGCGUUACCCUUGAAGCACCUUUAAAGAUUGAUGCCACGUUUGUCACUUAGCUUUCCUUCCCUCUAAAAGAAUAGUAAUUAAAAUAUGUUUGCAAUACAACUUUGUUAAAAAUAGUUCAGCUCAUGGGAAAUCAACACGUGCUGAAAUCACGCUGAACCACACUUUCACAGAGGAAAUGAAUACUGCAGCCUUUGAAGAAGUCCCAUAUGAUCUGUGCACAUCCCAAGUCACUGCUUCUGACACCUUAGAAGACAGAUUUAUUCAGACUUUAGUUACUUUUCAGCUUCACUGAUUUCCUUCCCAGUCACCAGCAUAUUUCUUCCAUAAAGCAAGAGGUAAUACUUCUUACACUUACUUACAUUUAUGAUACUCCUCCUAUUCUGGUUUUAUUUCACUUCCUCCCAUGCCUUUGGUGCAUUCCGUGUAUAAAACAUUCAUGAAAUGCAAAUUAUUAUAACCUUCUUUCUCCAUUUCACCGAACAGAUUUAGUCAGAUGAAGCCUCCAAGGUAUUUUAGGUAUCAACAGGCAAUACAGGACUGACCUCAGUGCGUAAAAGUGUAGUGAUAUUUAGAGAACCAGGAUCCAGCCCUGUCCCCAGAUUGCAGACAAACCUGCAGAGCUGCCUGCUGAGAAUCUUCUCUGCUUGGGCAGUGCCUUGCCUCAAGCACCGCACAAAAUAAUCACUGAACUUGAAAACACCAUAAACUAGGUUGCUGGGGUAACUUAUUGCAUAAGAACAAUUCUGUUGGGGCAUGCAUACAAUUAUUGCUUGUCUUCAUUCCUGUUUUGAGUUUCACUAGGCAUGACACCCCCGCUUAGGGAGUAAAUCCAGAGAUAUUAUUGAAUUACAGCCAAAGCUGCUGCAAAUAUGGGCAAUGGUGCUGUUAAUUGGACUUUUACAACACAAAACUGAUCUGUAGCAGUCUCUCCAACCAUCAUAUUUUG